rnacentral:piRNA from 1 species
UGGUAUCUUCAGUGCGCUACGGCAGA